CAUUUGUUCAGAUAUCUUACUCGUUCAAUUGAAUGGGUCCAUUACAACAAAUCUCUCAUUUAACCAAAUCCAUAGUUCUGGUCUCUCCAAACAAUGGGACUUUCUAGUUCAACCCAAAACAAAAGGCAAAUCUUCAUCUUGUCCGGCCAAAGCAACAUGGCCGGGCGCGGCGGCGUUAAAAACCACCGGUGGGACCACAUAGUACCAGAUGACUGCAAACCUGACCCCACCACCAUCCACCGCCUCACCGCCAACCUAACGUGGGAGACCGCCCAGGAACCACUCCACGCCGACAUUGACAAAAACAAAACAUGCGGUGUGGGCCCGGGGAUGUCGUUCGCCAACGCCGUGAAGGAUUACAUUGCCGGAGUAAUUGGUCUGGUGCCAUGCGCCAUUGGUGGCACCGCCAUUAAGAAGUGGGCGAAAGGUGAGAAGUUGUACGAGGAUAUGGUGAGGAGAGCGAGAUCAGCUGUAAGUAAUGGUGGAGAGAUUAAAGCAUUGCUUUGGUACCAAGGGGAGAGUGACACGUCAUCAAAAACCUCUGCUCAAUCCUAUAAAUCUAACAUGGAGAAUUUGAUCCGGAAUGUUCGUGCAGAUCUAGGAUUACCAGCACUGCCAGUUAUUCAGGUUGCGAUUGCAUCUGGCGAAGGGAAAUACAUUGAGGUAGUAAGAGAAGCGCAAAAAGCCAUUGAUCUACCUAAUGUGGUAUGUGUCGAUGCAAAGGGGUUGGAACUGAAGGAAGAUCACCUCCACUUAACGACAACGGCUCAAGUUCAGCUUGGACACAUGUUAGCCGAUGCAUAUCUCGCUCAUUUCGGAUGAGCAACCCCUCCGGCUGCCUCUGUUUACCCAGAGGGAGGACAUUUGUUGUUUGUAACUAAGAUGUUUCCGUUUUCAGGAUGAUGGACGAGGGGAUGGAUGACCAGCUCGAGUUGCAAGAUCAGGUGGAGCAACAACAGCAAGCGGAUCCACUUCCGGGUCACUCGUACUUGGAGUUUCCCCCGGAGUUCGAGGCUGCUGGCCGUUGCGUCAAGCUUAGGUGCGGUUUGUUGGCCGUCUCUUGAGACCCUCGGUGAGACGGCUAGAGCGUGAGAGUUUAUUCCGAUUGAUUCACCGUGGGAUCACCUUUUUGAGUUAUCGCGUAUGCCGAGCUACAAAUAGAUUCUCGUCGUGGUUUUGUCGUCGUUCGAGUUUCAUCCUUGUCGGGCCGACCAACCCGUGGACUCGGUGCACCCCCUCCCCCCGAGGUUUCUUUCCGUCUAGCCAACGUGGCGCGUGCUAUGACCCCUUGCAAAGUUUGCGGUCUGCUGCGGUUGAUACCAGGAAACUGAGAUCGCUACAUAUCUCUAUACAUAGGAGCAGGAGCAGCAUGAGCAGGAGCAGUAGCAGUAUAUCAUAUUCAAUCAACCAUUUGGAAUAUAAUGUCAUUUAAUAAAGAGUAAAUUACAAGUUUUGUCCUUUAUGUUUACAUCAAAUUUCAGGCGUUGUCCUUUAGGCCAAAACUUGACAGGCGGUGUCCUUUACGUUUCAAAAUCUUGCACGUUUUGUCCUUUAGGCCAAACCCAGUUAGAUUUUUUAGUUAAAUCUAGUCACCCAAGGGCAUUUUAGUCUUUCUACCCCAUUUAUUUAAUAUUAUUUAAAAAUAAAACAAAAAAAUUUAAAAUAAUAAUAAUAAUAAUAUUAUUAUUAUUAUUAUUAUUAUUAUUAUUAUUAUUAUUAUUAUUAUUAUUAUUUAUAUAUAGAGUAAAUUACUAACCACCAUCACCACCACCCUUCAUCACCAUCACCACCACCCUCCACCACCAUCAAACAGAAAUAAGCAGGCUAACCCGAGCCACCACCAUCAACCACACCUUCACCCAUCGUCGCACCUUACCCAACGCCACAACCGCGCCUAUACAUUUCCGGCGCCACCUCUGCCUUAACUAACCACGGCGCCACCACCAUCACCAAACAUUCACUGCUACUUGCAUCAUAUUCAUCCCCCUGACCAUUCUCAACAAACCCAAAUACCAAAUCAAAAACCCCCAAAAAUCCCCAAAAACAAAAAUAUCAAAAACCCUAAAAAACAAUUCCGGCAUCGAGUCUCCAACCACCACUUGCAAUCGCCUAUAACAUCACCUCCACCGCCGAACCAACCCCACCACCACAAACCACCCCUUCACCCACCGUCGCACCUAACCCACCAACAAAACCACCCCUUCACCCACCGCACCUAACCCGCCAUCACAACUACCCCUAACCCACCACCACCUGCAAUAGCACCACAACAACCAUCAAGCACCUCCACCACUGUUGUUAGAGAGAGAGAAGGGAGUGAGAGGAGAGAGAAGUUUGAGAUCUGAAUGAGAAAAAAGGAAGUUUAUAUAUUUUUUUAUUUUUAAGUUUUGUACAAUUUAGUCCCUGAAUGAAUUUUUUUUACAAAAUAGCCCAUUGAAAUGUGAAACAACAAAAAUGCCCUCAUGUGCAAUGCACAUGACCAUGACCAGAUUUAACCAAAAAAUCUAACUGGGUUUGGCCUAAAGGACAAAACGUGCAAGAUUUUGAAACGUAAAGGACACCGCCUGUCAAGUUUUGGCCUAAAGGACAGCGCCUGAAAUUUGAUGUAAACAUAAAUGACAAAACUUGUAAUUUACUCUUUAAUAAAUUCAUGCAUAUCUUACAUGAAAAAUCUAAAUUAUUAUUAUUAUUAUUAUAAUUUUCAUCACUUUUGUACUUAUUUAAUUAACUUUAUUUUUUGAGGUAACACCCUUAUUAUAUAAUUAAAAUUAAAUUAAAAUAGAUAAUAAAUAGAAUUAAUUUUUAUGAAGUUAUAUGAGUUUAGUAAUUGUGUCAUGUGUAUAUCAACAAAAAGUCUAUAAUUAAUUGAAAAGUUCGAUUUGAAACAAUCCAUGAGAUCUAACUAUGAUCAAUAUACACAAAGUUACGGUAAGAUGUGGGUUCAACCACAUUAACACACCAUGAGAUCCGACUACAGGUAAUUUCUAAAACAACGUUGGAAGUGUCACUCAUUAUUUUCUCUUCAAAGAUGAUUGCAAAAAAAUAAAAAUAAAAAAUCCCUACGUUCUUCUCACAUUAACCCCCCCCCCCACACACACACACACACAAUGUAGGGAAUCAAUUCUAGUUAUUUUAAUAUAUAACAUUUAACUAAGAAACAUAUGUGUAAAUAGGGGAUGGUAGUGGUUGAUAAACCCACGCUUCUAGGGUUUGGGAUGUGGUUGCGAAAAGGACACUUGGGACCACGUGCACUCCAGGGGGAGGGUUUCGUGUAUUGUUGAUCCGUUCUACAGGUAUCUCACACAGGUUAAUCUCCUCUUCCAUCACUGCUUAUGGGAAGAGUCGAGAAUGGUGUACGAGCGGAUAUGUAUUUUUCUUUUAUUGCCUCUUGUAUAAGAGGUUAUGCGCUCUCGCAGACGGUUUGGUGCAAUACUUCGCCUUCGCAUAUCAUCGGCAGGAGCGCAUAAAAUUGUACGGUGACGCCUACAUCACUGUGAUAGUCCUUUCGUUUGGCUAUCACCCGUAAGGUGACCCGCAGUUACUACCGGCGAUACAGCCGAAGAGGCUAGGGAUGAACUCGAUAUCCAGGAUGAAAAUCGUUAGGAAGUUCCCACCCUUCAGAAAGUGGUUGCGCGGUAAGGACGAAAACCGCUUCGUGUCGGUUCAGUUGCCGCCACAGUUCGACCCGGUAUAUCCGCCAGCCCUGGCCGGGGACGUGCAGGAGUAUGCGCUCGAUAUGGACAUUCCAGACUUGCCACAACCGCGACCAUCGCCCGGGGCGCCUCAGGUUCCACAACACAUUGUUCCCAGUCCUGACCUAGGAGCAGCGUUGUAUCAGUAGUUAUGGCACAAUGUUGACAUCCUUACUGAUACGGUCGGUACGAUGUUGUAUGCGCUGCAGUGGUUGGUUAAGGAGGCGCAGUAGCGACAACAACGUGAGGGGUUACCUCCCCGAUCGUACCGUCCGCCUCCAGGACGACAUCAUCAGUAGUAGCAGGACCCGCAGCUAUAGACGAGGUUGUUAUUCUUGUUUUUGUAUUUAGUAUUCA